rnacentral:lncRNA from 1 species
CUUUAUAAGAAUGAUUUUGUUUGGAUCGAAUCAGUUAAUCAAAUUAUUUACCUAGUUUCACUUUCAAUGUUGACAUUCUUUUCCUUUAAAUACCCAUACACGGACGAUGCAUGCGUUAUUCUAUCUCUUUCUACGGGGUUAAAUUGGAGUUCACAUGAAUACGGAUUUAAUGAGGUCGAAUUAUUCACUUGCAAGUGAAUUAGUCAGUAUCAAUGUUUAUUAG